CCGCUUCCGGGUGCCUGCCCCUUGCAGGCCGGGCGGCGCGCAGCUCGGCCUGCGCCCUCACCUCGCUCUCUGGAGUGGGCUCCGGCGCCUGGAGUCUCUGGGAGUGAGCCAAGGAAGCCAUUUGUACGUUCUGCUGUGCGCGAGAGAAUCUUCGCGAGCUUGGGGGGUCGCACGUAAUCUCCGAGAGGAAGGAAGUGAGGGAUUUAAUAAGAGUGUGCCACCACCGUGCGCUGCCCUGGCAUGCUCACUAUUUGAAUUAAAGGCACUUAAUAAAACAGCAGACGCACAGCGAUCACCCUGACCUUCACUGUGCUUCUGUAAGCCAGGAGAUGCAACUCCUAGGUGAAAGACUGUCCCCGUCACAGGAGGAGCAGCAUUCUUGCUGUCAAGCAUGGGAAGUGGAAGCCAAGAGAAUUCUGGACAGAUCUUACAAAAGUUUGAGGAAUCUCCUGAAAACUUUGGAGUUUUUACCCAGGAAUUCUGGUUUGGGCUCUCAUCUCCUUUAUUCAUUCAUUGAAGAAAUGGUAGUGAGUUGAUAUCCAGGGAAAGCCUAUACCCAGUGGAGAAGAGACUGUUUUCUUGCCUGCCUACGUGAAAGCCUUUCCCUGCCACGCUGAGCGGGCCAGAGGAGCUGGCGUGGGAGCGCGUCAGGUGCCUCUCCGGGAAGGGAGAAGACGCACUUAUGUCAGCCUUCUGGAAAUGCACAGUCAUCAAGAAAGCCACAGUGAAUGGAAAAAGAACCCGGUUCUUAUCCCUGGGUUUUUUGUUUUUUUUUUUUUGCUACUAACCAUAUCAUGACAUUUUUCCGUUGUAAGUUUGUUUUCACAACCUACAUAAACAGUUCAGAAAAAUGAAGGAAACUUAGGCUUAUAUUUUUCUGUUCUAUGUUUAUUUGUUCCUUUUAAAUCCUAUCAUUUCUCCCUUACUGUGGGAAUACUUGCUGGACAGUUUUAAGAGUGAAAUAGUUUGUGUGAAUCAAGGUUAGUUUUCUGCUGGAAGGAGAAAAAAUUACCGAUUCCAAUUUAGAUUUAUCAGGAUCGGUCAUUAGUCGUGUUUCAUCAGUCGGAUGUACAGCCCUUUAGAAAGCGGACCAGUUUGAUUGGAAGGAAGGUGGGCUGAGGCCGGUUGUGGACUCUUUACUGCCAAGAGCUGCUGGAUGAAGACUUGUAAAAGAGACCCCUGGCUUCAGGGAUGCCCUGUUCCACACCAGCAAGCAGUUUUCAGGCUUUUUUAUUUUUUUGGUUUUAAUUUUUUUAAUUUUUUAUAGUGGGACUAAUUAUUUACAUAAAACCUUGUUUGGAACCCAAAUCUGAAAGAAGAGGCAAUAAAAAUGGUUAAGUAUGCAGAUUUUUCUGGCUUCCUUUCUUUCCCCAUAAUUAUCUUUGGAGAACCUGAGAACUCCAGGUUUGAAAAUAUG